rnacentral:rRNA from 1 species
UAAAACGUAGGACACAAGCGUUAUCCGGAGUUACUGGGCGUAAAGGGCGUUUAGGCGGGUGAUUAAGUUCGCUAUGAAAGCGCCAGGCUAAACCUGGCGAGGCUGGCGGAUACUGGUCAUCUGGAGUAAGGAAGAGGGAGGUAGAAUUCCGCGUGUAGUGGUGAAAUGCGUAGAGAUGCGGAGGAAUACCAGUGGCGAAGGCGGCCUCCUGGUCCUUAACUGACGCUGAAGCGCGAAAGCAUGGGGAGCGAACGGGAUUAGAAACCCCGGUAGUCCAUGCCGUAAACGAUGUGUACUAAACGUUCGUUUUCCGCGAGGGAAAUGGGUGUUGAAGCUAACGCAGUAAGUACACCGCCUGGGGAGUACGGUCGCAAGGCUA